AGCCCCCCCCCCCCCUCCACACACACACACACACACAAACAAAGAGGCGUUAGGCUGAGACGCUGAAAGUCCGGAUUUAAAGUGCAGAAAAUUAAGCCAUUGAAUCUGCCUGUCCAUGACGUACAAAGACACACUAUGAGCCAGUAUGAUCCGACCAGACCUUACAUCAGCAUUGAGGAGUUGUCGGAGAAGAAAGAGGCUGAUUGAAGCGGGACAGAUGACAUGGAUCCAUCCUUCCACAGCCAGGAGCGCACCGACCUGUGUCCCACACUUCAUAUAAGACUGGAAGCUACACUGAUCUCACAGCUACACACCACAGACGUCUACACACUGGAGAAGAGUCCCACAAAGAAGUCAUGACCCAGAGGCUGCAGAGAAACAUUUCAAGCCUCAUCUGAGUUUUUGUACAAUAUUUUUGCUGUAUGUAAAUAAAGCUUUCACUCCACA